GCCCUUGAAUUUACUGCCUAAUCUGAUCUGAGAUGAUCUCGGAUUACCCCUUCCGCGAGAUUCCUAAUCCUGGGGCCGGCAGUUCGAAUCUGCCAGGGGGCGCCA
rnacentral:tRNA from 1 species